GGGUUGUGAGGUUAAGCGACUAAGCGUACACGGUGGAUGCCCUGGCAGUCAGAGGCGAUGAAGGACGUGCUAAUCUGCGAUAAGCGUCGGUAAGGUGAUAUGAACCGUUAUAACCGGCGAUUUCCGAAUGGGGAAACCCAGUGUGAUUCGUCACACUAUCAUUAACUGAAUCCAUAGGUUAAUGAGGCGAACCGGGGGAACUGAAACAUCUAAGUACCCCGAGGAAAAGAAAUCAACCGAGAUUCCCCCAGUAGCGGCGAGCGAACGGGGAGCAGCCCAGAGCCUGAAUCAGUGUGUGUGUUAGUGGAAGCGUCUGGAAAGGCGYGCGAUACAGGGUGACAGCCCCGUACACAAAAAUGCACAU
rnacentral:rRNA from 1 species